AACGUAGGAGACAAACGUUAUCCGGAGUUACUGGGCGUAAAGGGCGUGCAGGCGGUCUGUUAAGUCUGGCGUGAAAGCUCUCGGCUAAACCGGGAGAGGUCGUUGGAUACUGACGGACUAGAGGACGGUAGAGGCGUGUGGAAUUCCGGGUGUAGUGGUGAAAUGCGUAGAGAUCGGCAGGAACACCCAGGGGGAAACCAGCCGACUGGGCAUCAACUGACGCUGAGGUGCGAGAGCGUGGGGAGCGAACCGG
rnacentral:rRNA from 1 species